rnacentral:rRNA from 1 species
CCUUACCUACUCUUGACAUCCAGAGAACUUAGCAGAGAUGCUUUGGUGCCUUCGGGAACUCUGAGACAGGUGCUGCAUGGCUGUCGUCAGCUCGUGUUGUGGAAUGUUGGGUUAAGUCCCGCAACGAGCGCAACCCUUAUCCUUUGUUGCCAGCGGUUCGGCCGGGAACUCAAAGGAGACUGCCAGUGAUAAACUGGAGGAAGGUGGGGAUGACGUCAAGUCAUCAUGGCCCUUACGAGUAGGGCUACACACGUGCUACAAUGGCAUAUACAAAGAGAAGCGACCUCGCGAGAGCAAGCGGACCUCAUAAAGUAUGUCGUAGUCCGGAUCGGAGUCUGCAACUCGACUCCGUGAAGUCGGAAUCGCUAGUAAUCGUGGAUCAGAAUGCCACGGUGAAUACGUUCCCGGGUCUUGUACACACCG